rnacentral:rRNA from 1 species
UGAGGAAUCUUGGACAAUGGGGGAAACCCUGAUCCAGCCAUGCCGCGUGAGUGAUGAAGGCCCUAGGGUUGUAAAGCUCUUUCACCGGUGAAGAUAAUGACGGUAGCCGGAGAAGAAGCCCCGGCUAACUCCGUGCCAGCAGCCGCGGUAAUACGGAGGGGGCUAGCGUUGUUCGGAAUUACUGGGCGUAAAGCGCGCGUAGGCGGACCGUUAAGUCAGGGGUGAAAUCCCGAGGCUCAACCUCGGAACUGCCCUUGAUACUGGCGGCCUUGAGGUCAAGAGAGGCAAGUGGAAUUCCGAGUGUAGAGGUGAAAUUCGUAGAUAUUCGGAAGAACACCAGUGGCGAAGGCGACUUGCUGGCUUGAUACUGACGCUGAGGUGCGAAAGCGUGGGGAGCAAACAGG